rnacentral:lncRNA from 1 species
AAAUAAAUUUCACUCUUUCUAAAAUGGUAAUCUAAUCCUACUGUUCACCUCUGUCAUCAGCUUCCUUACUUGCAUUUUCUUGGGAAGGAAUCACAGCUGCCAGCAAUACAUUCAGCCAGCAGCUCUCUUGAGACAGCACAAGCAAAGCCACCAUAUGAUCUUGAGAAGGAUCGUGUCUGAACAGUAGCAUUUCAAGAAAGGAGGAUUAGGAUAACAGGAAUAAAGUGCUGGCCAUACAGGCAAAUAUUGGGGUGUUGACACCCAAUGUGCCUGAACAAAAAGGAGAGAAAAUUAAAGGUAGACAUAGCCAGGAAUGUGGAGAAGAGAGAAAUAAAUGGAGCUGCCUGCUUCCUAGUUCCACAGCCCACUUUCAAGGAUCACAAUUUAAAGCGCAUAUUUAAAGGGGACAGUGAGAGAAAUUGCUUUUCCAUGCAGCUUCCCUGGGAGACUUUCUCUGGUCUUAACAACAUCUAGACAAGAAACAGAUUUGGGAAGAAGAAAUCUAUGACUGAACAAGGAAUGUGGCCUCUCAAGUGCACAUCAAGAGCUCAAGUGGUUGGGGCAGGGUAGUGCCCCAGUCACAGCCCCAUCCUUCUUCUCUGGAAAGGAGAGGAUCUAUUAUGCUUUGUUUGGCUGAGGAGAAGUGGUAAACUAUUGUGAGAUACUAAACUAUGUAUUUUUUUCUGUGUUUUAGUGCAGUAUCAGUCACUUUGUUGUUAAUUUUUUCUGAAUGUGAAAUUCAUUGUGUGCAAUAUCAAAGCCUGAUUCAAAAAUAGUAAAUGAUAGGAUUCAACAUUUCAGCUGACAGAUAAUUUGAAGACUUGCAGCAAUUCCCACAAGUCUUUCAUAAGCUAAGACAUUUCUCUUUGGAUUGUCAUGCUGGCUAAAGGAUGACAGCUUUGGGGAUUAAAGCUUUUUCUCCUUCUCUUUGAGAACCUCUGCAGAGUAUCUCAUAGGAAUGGGUAGACCUCAGCUUUAAAAUGGAUUGCUCUUCCUGGUACUUCUUGACUAUAUAUACACUGGGACUCCUGUUGCAUGCUCUACUAUUGAAUGAGAGGUCCAAAAGGUGACAAGUGUACUUUAACAUCAAUAAAAUUUGAAGACUGGUUGUGACUUAAUCUUUG